rnacentral:rRNA from 1 species
GAUGAACGCUGGCGGCGUGCCUAAUACAUGCAAGUCGAGCGAACAGACGAGGAGCUUGCUCCUCUGACGUUAGCGGCGGACGGGUGAGUAACACGUGGAUAACCUACCUAUAAGACUGGGAUAACUUCGGGAAACCGGAGUUAAUACCGGAUAAUAUAUUGAACCGCAUGGUUCAAUAGUGAAAGACGGUUUUGCUGUCACUUAUAGAUGGAUCCGCGCCGCAUUAGCUAGUUGGUAAGGUAACGGCUUACCAAGGCAACGAUGCGUAGCCGACCUGAGAGGGUGAUCGGCCACACUGGAACUGAGACACGGUCCAGACUCCUACGGGAGGCCGCAGUAGGGAAUCUUCCGCAAUGGGCGAAAGCCUGACGGAGCAACGCCGCGUGAGUGAUGAAGGUCUUCGGAUCGUAAAACUCUGUUAUUAGGGAAGAACAAAUGUGUAAGUAACUAUGCACGUCUUGACGGUACCUAAUCAGAAAGCCACGGCUAACUACGUGCCAGCCGCCGCGGUAA